AUUGCUUCCCCUGUCCUUCCUUUAGCUGUAACUCCGGCGGGCGUGUUGGGUGUGUCGUUUUAGGCUCUGUGACCCAGGAGCAAGACGCAAUAAGCGGGUGCAGUGGAGGUAGAAACGGGAAAUGCAGUACCCUUUCCGGAAGCUACUCCGCCCCUCGACAGAGUCUUGCUGUGUCGCCCAAGCUAGAGUGCAGUGGUGUCAUCUGGGCUCAUUGCAACCUCCGCUUCCUGGAUUCAAGCAAUUCUCAUGCCACAGCCUCCCAAGUAGCUGGGACUACAGGUGCGCACCACCAUGCCUGACUAAUUUUUGUAUUUUUAGUAGAGACAGGGUUUCACCAUGCUGGCCAGGCUGGUCUCGAACUCCUGACCUCAAGUGAUCCACCUGCCUCAGCCUCCGAAAGUGCUGGGAUUGCAGGUGUGAGCCACCAUGUCCGCCCAUUGAAAAGCUCUUUAAAUAUUG
rnacentral:lncRNA from 1 species